CUCCUCCCUGUCCUGUAUCUUCCCCCCCUCUCUCUCUCUCUCUCUCUCUCUCCUUCUCUUUGUCCCUGUCUCUCGCCACCUCCAUUCUGUGUAAAGGGCUUUAAUGAUGUUUCUGUUAGUUUUGACUGGCUGGCGGGAGGAGGUGUGGGGAGGGAUGGAUGGUUUUAUUAUUUUCCUUGGCCUGUUGUGACGUGUUGUUAUGCUGACCUCUGACCUGUCUGUCAUGUGUCUCUCUGUAGAGAUCACAGGAGCAAGCUGAUAGGCUGCUGGGAAACAGGAAACAGGAAACAGUUCAUAUUAGGAUUAACAGGAGGAGCAGGAGGAGUCAAAUAACCAGCCAAUGGAGGGCUGUGAUUGGAGGAGGGCUCUCUGUCUCCCCGUCCCGGAGCCAAUCAGACCAUCAGGAUUCAGGAUCAGAGCAGGGAUUAGGAUUAAGGAUGGAGAGAGAGAACAAACACGGAGUGGGACAUAGGAUCAGGACCAGCCCACAGCCCAGCCCACUGGAAACCUAGAAACUAGACCCAAUUCACUCACAUGGCUCUCAAACGCACUAAAUUACAGUUUUAGUAUUUUUUUUCCCCCCGCGUGGACCCCCCAGCGCCCUGCUGGGAUCCUGACAAGCGUUCUUUUGUAUUUUAUUGUUUGAGGAGCUCAGCGCAAAACCAGGAGACUGGCUCAGGAUGGAGGGAGGCGCACAUAAGGAGAGCGGUAACUAGAAGGGAAUUAUAAUCUGGGAAGGAGGGAGGGAUGGAUGAAGGGUAAUGUGUUUGUUCAUUAAAGGUUUGGAGGGAGGGUAUAGUGUUUUUUUGGGGGGUUGUGUUGUUUCCUUAGUAGGUUUUAUGAGUUUCUUUCCUUAACUCCUCUUCAAUAAAGUGUCUUCUACAGUA